AGGAUAGGUGGGAGUCGCGGAAGCGGCCACGCUAGUGGUCGUGGAGACGCCGUUGAAAUACCACCCUGUCUGCUGUGAAAUCCUCACUGACCGCCGUGAAGCCGGCGGCAGGACCGGGUCAGGUGGGUAGUUUGACUGGGGCGGUCACCUCCCAAAAGCGUAACGGAGGUGUGCAAAAGGUGUCCUCAGGCUGUAUAGACAUCAGUCGACGAGUGCAAAGGCAGAAGGGCGCUUGACUGCGAGACGGACACGUCGAGCAGGGGCGAAAGCCGGUCUUAGUGAUCCGGUGGUGCUGCGUGGCAGGGCCAUCGCUCAACGGAUAAAAGGUACGCCGGGGAUAACAGGCUGAUCCUGCCCGAGAGUUCCCCAUCGACGGCAGGGUUUGGCACCUCGAUGUCGGCUCAUCGCAUCCUGGAGCUGGAGCAGGUUCCAAGGGUUUGGCUGUUCGCCAAUUAAAAGCGGUACGCGAGCUGGGUUUAGAACGUCGUGAGACAGUUCGGUCCCUAUCUGUCGUGGGCGAG
rnacentral:rRNA from 1 species